AAGUCGUAACAAGGUUUCCGUAGGUGAACCUGCGGAAGGAUCAUUACAGAGUUGUCGACACGAGUUGUUGCUGGUCCUCAAAUGGGGGCAUGUGCACGCUCUGUUCACACAUCCACUCACACCUGUGCACCCUCUGUAGUUCUAUGGUCUGGGGGACGCACCGUCUUCCUCCCGUGGUUCUAUGUCUUUACACAUACACCGUAGCGAAGUCUUAGGGAAUGUACUCUGCGUUUAACGCGAUAUAAUACAA
rnacentral:misc_RNA from 1 species